rnacentral:tRNA from 1 species
CAGGGAGACAACACAAUGAUUUUGAUGCCUGAGUAUUUUUAUUCUUAGGUCGAAAUCCUGUCACCUUAGGUCGAUCGGUACCUCAGAUUUGAAGUCAAGAAUUAACAGCAAUGUUAAUUGCUUGGUUGAAAUUUUCAGUUCCUAAACUUUGUCUAGGUCACACCCCAAAAGGGAUGAGACUCCUGGGCCAUUAGCUCAGGUGGUUAGAGCGCACCCCUGAUAAGGGUGAGGUCCCUGGUUCAAGUCCAGGAUGGCCCAUUCGGUGUUGGGGGUUUAGCUCAGUUGGUAGAGCGCCUGCUUUGCAAGCAGGAUGUCAGGAGUUCGAGUCUCCUAACCUCCACUGACCGAACUUUAUCCCUGCUCCAAGUGAUGGAGUUGAGCUCGAUUGGUGUGUGAUUUAGAUGUGUCCGCUGGAUGACCCCAGCUUCCUGUCAUUCCAAGUUUUAGGUUAAAGCCUUGAAUUUGGUUGAUAAGAUGCUGGGCUCGGAUCAAAUGAUCAAGCAAUUGAUGAUUUGAUUUGAAGUUCUAGCAGAACCUUGACAACUGCAUAGGUGAGUCUGGAAAAAACAAAGCAUCUUACAGAUGCAUUGUUUUGAAUCUGAUCUUUCGAAAGGGAGAUUGGAUCUAGAACAAUGAAAAUUCUUUUGAGCAAGAGCCGAGACUCUUGGAUGUUCUUUGAUUCGUGUCGAGCGAAUCAGAGUUUGAUCUUGUUUUUAGCAAUAAAAACUUGAGAAUCUGCUUUCAACGGCGGUAAGCGUUCAGGAGGUUAAUU